CUCAAUGGUAGCGUGUAGCGGGAAAGGUUUCGCCCUUUGCUGUUUACCGUAUGUGACAGUUUUCGAGCCCGUUACACGUUACCGCCCUA
rnacentral:antisense_RNA from 1 species